GGGGGCCCGCCAUCGAAGUUAUUGAAAUUCGAAGAAACUUCAGUGUCAGUACUGUGAUUUCCAAGGCAGCGCAUUGGCGGUAGGUGUUCAUUGUGUACGAAAACAUCCGGAGCACUCCCGUCAUGAACAGAGUUUCAAGCAUGGAAGGACCAGUAUGAGGCUGACACCGGAGCGGUGUACAACAUCGCUUCCAGCCGACCCCGGAACGGUACAACCGCCCGCCACUUGUGCUCCCGUGUACCUGUACCGUGUACCUCCCGGUCCGGCGUGUACGCACCGGCGGGGACCGGGAAGAGGCGGCUCAAGUCGCAGGGCAUGUGCAAGCUGGGCUGCCGCUGCACGUCGGAUGUCAUGGCGACUAUUCGAGAGGACGACACGGUGCUGGUGACGGUGCACCCAUUCCAUUAUGGCCACAGCAUGGGUAUUAGCAACAUCCCACGUCAGGAUCCCCAGCCUCCACAAAGCUGCCAUUAAGGAAAAGCUGCUGACUGGGGUGUCAAUGUCUCGCAUCAUGAAGGAUGUCCGUGAGGCGUUCUGGGCUGAAGCGGCAGCAGGCACCAGUUCCAGUCGUUCAUAUUGACUCCAGCGGCGCGACCUCCACAACAUGUGUCGGUCUGUCGGUAUCACAGCAGCGGAUGGCGGUGCGGUGAAGAACCGCAACGAAGUGAUCAGCGUGCAGAUGUUCGCAGAGGAGAUACGAUCAUCGGAUCAGCAGCACCUGGUGGCCUUCAAACCUCCAGGUGAAGCGGACAGCAACGGCGCGCUCCGAGAUGAAGACUUCGUGCUUGCUUCCUGCUCAUCAUCUCAGCUGGCGAAGUUCGUACAGCACGGUGCAAAGUUUGUGUGCAUGGAUGGCACGCACGGCACCAGCGGUCACGAUUUUCAUCUCAUAACGCUGCUGGUGGUGACGGAGACGGGAGCCGGCAUGCCAGUGGCCUGACUCAUCUCGAGCAGAGAGGACAAGCCUGCCAUAUCAUCCAUGCUGACUGGCCUGGUCCGCACCUGCGAGGAGCUGGAGCUGCCGUUUCCCACCGUCCGGUUUCUUAUGACAGACAAGGUUAUGGCCUUUUAUAACGCCUGGCUGGCGAGCACCCGCCAGCAUGACACUCAACACAUCCUCGGCGCCUGGCACGUCCUGAAAGCAUGGAAGGGCAAGCUGGCGAUGGUAACCGUAAGUUGUUCUGUUCGCCACGCGAAAUUUGGACUAUAAUGCUUCAGGCACGCUGUUUGUGCAGUGGACACGGCCGUGACUCCACGAAGUAUUCGUAAACCCCAGAGUUGGAUCGUGUGAUAGUCUGACAGUCCAUGGGGACCAGCACUGUCUUCAUAACUUUUGCUUGGUGUUCCCUCAGUCAGUAUGUUGCUGCGGUGCCAGGUCGCCGAUAUCGAGACCUGUUUUCGGCCGGUGUACCUCACCUUUUCCAUUUUUAUCGAAUGGGAAGGUGCAGCAACAGUGCACUGCAGCGUUCCACAAGUGUUUGUCCAAAUAGCUGUUAGUAGCUCAAGUGGCUUAUUCAUACAUUUUGCUGGAAACGACAUGACCGUGUGGCCGUAAAAUGUUACCAGAAGUGUAGCUGGCCGUGGCUAGCGGGACUUCCCGUUCAGCUGAGGUGUUGAGUCGCUUCAAAGCGCUGACAUCUCUGAAACGCCCGACCUCGUUCGGAGUAACCUGUAGUGCUAAAUGGCAAGCUCCCUUACCCGAUUAACUACAAAAAAGCCUGUGGAGAUCCGUCAUGUGGAGAAAAGAGAUCGUCAUGGGUUGAUUUGCAAUCGUACGUGCUUCACGGAAUGAAUAAGUGUGCUCAGUUCAGUCUGCGUGAAUUGCAUUUGCCCUAAGCACGUGGGUUCGAAUCCCACCUUUGGCAAUACUCUACUAGCCAGAGACCGGUGUGCUUUUGGACAAUCGCUAUGUACGCGGACAUAACUAGUGUUUUAUCCACGGGGUUAGACAUACAUUUAUAAUGAGCAUGUACACAUCAAUGAACUGGGUCAAUAUUUAUGAAUGGAUGAUUUCUGCAACGUGUGCUGCGCAGACGGAAAAUCGUACCGUACCGGUAACGGCCCUCCUCGGAUGAAGAAAGUGGCAUUUUUGGUGGGAAGAUGUUGACCAUGCUUACCAUAUUUAGGCUACGAGCGAUAACCUCUGCCCACUUCAUGUCCGUCUCGUUUCGUGCACAGAAACUAUUAACUUCCGCUCGCCAUACAGCAUUAAUUGUUAUGUGGCCAGAGUUCUUAUACAUGAUAUUGUCAAAACUUAAAUUCUAACAUUCUAAUUCUAAGAUGGUGAUUUUGUCAAAACUAGACGUUUCAAGCUGUGCUUACCAUGGUUUGUGACCCCAUGAUCGCUCGUGAUCGUCUCUGUUCACUGAUCUGAUCAAGCACCCGCAAGCACUGGUUUCAAGCUAUGUUUGUAAAAUAUAGUAAGACUAGCAAAGCAACAUGACCUGUAACCCCGCCCCUAUUCAUUUAAGAUGGAAAACUUUCCAUUGCCAAUUUGUAACAAAAUCUUGAGAGCAUAGGUUGAGAUCAGAUCCCGAUCUUCACCAACCGGCACCACAGCAUCAUAUCAAGGCGUAAAAGUAUGGGCACAUUAGUGCAUCAGACGACGCGCUCGCAAAGAACAUGGAAUCCGCCUGUUUUGUAGUUUUUUAAAAUUUGUAUGGCCUUCAGGCAACCGGGUCAGGUGGUAUCUUGAAAAUAGCCGCACGUCGCAGGCGAAGGGGCUUCUAAAAAUCGUUAACGAUUUAGAGACGUUAUAAAGCACAAGGUAUUGUGCUUUAUUGUGGAUCACCGGGAGCAGGGCCAGUACCUGACGGGAGGACAUCUGAGAUUAACGUCGGUAUGGUCUUCCCUGAAUGAAUUUAUUUAGAUUGUUUGACGUUACCGAGACCAGAGAAAAGGGCUUGCAAACAGUGCGGUGCAUAGGGACGCAGACAUGUAACACAGAGCGAGCCAUUGCCUGUCAGACACAUUUAGGGGAUACGGCCACUUCUAGGUUCAGUGCACUGAUGUAGCCUUCUAGAAGGGUUCCCAAAGGCGAUUGGCUGCUUUCGCUUUCACUUGCAGGCCUUCUAUAACCUGGUGCACUCAACUGUGGAAAGGCGUCUUGCCCCUUGAG
rnacentral:lncRNA from 1 species